UGGUCUCUGGGGUGUAGCAGGGUGUAAUGUUGUUGUGGUCUCUGGGGUGUAGCAGGGUAUAAUGUUGUUGGUCUCUGGGGUGUAGCAGGGUGUAAUGUUGUUGGUCUCUGGGGUGUAGCAGGGUGUAAUGUUGUUGUCUCUGGGGUGUAGCAGGGUGUAAUGUUGUUGGUCUCUGGGGUGUAGCAGGGUGUAAUGUUGUUGUUGUCUCUGGGGUGUAGCAGGGUGUAAUGUUGUUGGUCUCUGGGGUGUAGCAGGGUGUAAUGUUGUUGGUCUCUGGGGUGUAGCAGAGUGUAAUGUUGUUGUCUCUGGGGUGUAGCAGGGUGUAAUGUUGUUGUGGUCUCUGGGGUGUAGCAGGGUGUAAUGUUGUUGUGGUCUCUGGGGUGUAGAAGGGUGUAAUGAUGUUGUGGUCUCUGGGGUGUAGCAGGGUAUAAUGUUGUUGUGGUCUCUGGGGUGCAGCAGGGUGUAAUGUUGUUGUGGUCUCUGGGGUGUAGCAGGGUGUAGCAGGGUGUAAUGUUGUUGUGGUCUCUGGGGUGUAGCAGGGUGUAAUGUUGUUGUGGCCUCUGGGGUGUAGCAGGGUGUAAUGUUGUUGUGGUCUCUGGGGUGUAGCAGGGUGUAAUGUUGUUGGUCUCUGGGGUGUAGCAGGGUGUAAUGUUGUUGGUCUCUGGGGUGUAGCAGGGUGUAAUGUUGCUGGUCUCUGGGGUGUAGCAGGGUGUAAUGUUGUUGUGGUCUCUGGGGUGUAGCAGGGUGUAAUGUUGUUGGUCUCUGGGGUGUAGCAGGGUGUAAUGUUGUUGUUGUCUCUGGGGUGUAGCAGGGUGUAAUGUUGUUGGUCUCUGGGGUGUAGCAGGGUGUAAUGUUGUUGUGGUCUCUGGGUUGUAGCAGGGUGUAAUGUUGUUGUUGGUAUCUGGGGUGUAGCAGGGUGUAAUGUUGUUGGUCUCUGGGGUGUAGCAGGGUGUAAUGUUGUUGUUGGUCUCUGGGGUGUAGCAGGGUGUAAUGUUGUUGUGGUCUCUGGGGUGUAGCAGGGUGUAAUGUUGUUGUGGUCUCUGGGGUGUAGCAGGGUGUAAUGUUGUUGUGGUCUCUGGGGUGUAGCAGGGUGUAGCAGGGUGUAAUGUUGUUGGUCUCUGGGGUGUAGCAGGGUGUAAUGUUGUUGGUCUCUGGGGUGUAGCAGGGUGUCAUGUUGUUGUGGUCUCUGGGGUGUGGCAGGGUGUAAUGUUGUUGGUCUCUGGGGUG
rnacentral:lncRNA from 1 species